UAGCUUGCUAAUGAAAUUCUUAGUGGCGGACGGGUUAGUAACACGUGAGAAUCCUACCCUUGAGUGGGGAAUAGCCUUUCGAAAGGAAGAUUAAUGCCCCAUAGUCUCUACGGAGUAAAGAUGCCUUCGGGUGUUGCUUAAGGAUGGGCUCGCGGCCUAUCAGCUAGUUGGUGAGGUAAGAGCUCACCAAGGCAACGACGGGUAGCUGGUCUGAGAGGACGAUCAGCAACACUGGAACUGAGACACGGUCCAGACACCUACGGGUGGCAGCAGUCGAGAAUCAUUCACAAUGGACGAAAGUCUGAUGGUGCAACGCCGCGUGGAGGAUGACGGCCCUAGGGUUGUAAACUCCUGUCAUCAAGGAGUAAGACUUAUUCGUUAAUAGCGUGUAAGUUUGAUAGUACCUGAAGAGGAAGGGACGGCUAACUUCGUGCCAGCAGCCGCGGUAAUACGAAGGUCCCAAGCGUUGUUCGGAAUAACUGGGCGUAAAGCGUGUGUAGGCCGCGCGGAAAGUCGGAUGUGAAA
rnacentral:rRNA from 1 species